rnacentral:lncRNA from 1 species
CGGAAGAAAUUCAAGAAUUACCAAAUCAUGGUCAUGAUCAUGAUUGUGUCAAAUCUCAGUCAAAGGCUCUAAAUAGAGGAAACAGUUCCUCAUUUAGCCUCAGAAUCUUUAACUAACACUCAUCUCAUCCACAUAACCAACCGAUAUGAAGCUUUUCCUCUUUCUCUUUCUCGUUUUUGAGAACGAUAUAAUCUCAGCAGUGAAGCAGAUUUCUGCAGAGAUAUCAGGAGAGAUAACUCUCACCCUUAUCUUUCAUCCGUACUACAACUCCUUCAGCAAGAUCUGCUACAAGGUGCUGCCGCAUAACUGGCUGGUGAUUGUAAAUACCGGUGGAUAUGCUGAUGGAGCGUAUAAAGGAAGGAUAGAAACGCAUGAAUAUAACGGAAGGAUGGAUAUGAGGAUCUGGAAUCUGGACCGGGGGGAUGCUGGGACCUACAGGUGUCAGAUCCAGGGAACUCAAAACUUCUUCUACCAAGAUUUCCAAGUCGUUAUAUACUACAGAGACCCCAGACCACCCCCAGCAUGGCUCUCACCUAAAUCUACCAUUUCUUCACCUGUAACUACACUGCACACUCUCUCAGAAAACCACCUAGAUUCACCCAGUAUAGAUAAAAAUCCAUGGGGCCUGAGACACACACUAGCUACAGUGUUUGGUGUUGCGUGCUUUAUUUUCAUUAUUGCAAUCAUACCGGUUGUGAUUUAUCACAUAAAGAGAAAAAAAACAGAAUCUAUAUACAGCACAUCCUCUGUUUCUUCCGAGACACGUGAAAGAAGCCCCAGCAGUGCCCCCGACAUCAUCCCACAGACCCCUCAGGAGCACCUUAACAGCAUCAUCUACACCACUGUGGAUUUCAAGCCCCAUGAAGAAGCUUCAGAGCUGUAUGCAAAUUUGUGCCUCUCCAACCCAGGAGCCCUGAGACCUGAUUCAGACAGAGCACUGAAGACCCAGGAGAGCGUGGAGUACUCCACCGUAGCCAGGAUUUUAUAAUACUGGACAUGCCUGCAGUUAGUUGUAGUGUGGUGUGUUUCCUCAAAUAGGGAAUUGAACCCUUGUCUGCUGUGGGAAAGGAACUUUAGAAACCCUGUGCAUGGGUGCAGUGUGGACUAGGUGGGUUCCAGGUGGGCAUGAGCUUCACAAAUAGGCCCCAUCAUUACUAUAUCCCAUGUUAAUCUCAUACUGGUUCCAUCCUGCUCCCCCAGUUACUGAUUGUUUCCACCUGGCUUGUCUAGUAUAAAUACCCCUCAGUUUACCCUGUUCCCUGCUGAGUGUUGAAUCUAGUUAGCUAGCUAUCCUACAACACAUUUCUUUUGAUUUGUUGCCUUUGUUAACGACUUGUUUCUGUUUCCGACUGUCGAUUUUUGCUUUGCCCUCUCUAUUGUUGAUUUCCAUUGCUGAUCCUUUUUUAUAUAUAUAUGACCCUGUUUUGCCUGACUAUGCACUGGUUUCCUUACUGUUACUGACCCUGUUACUAGCCCCUUUGGUAAUAAACACGAGUGUCUGUCGUGUGUCUGGUCA